UUCGAUCACUUGUUGCCGAGGGAACAGAAUUUUGAAACCGUGGAAACGAAAUAAAACCAUGACACAUUCAUGCUUAACAACAGAGUUUUCUGCAAACCCAUCACGACUGUUUUCGGUACUUUUCCAGAGCAGAAAAAGUUUCUCACAUCACGACAAUUUGAGUAUAAAUACUCGGGAGUUUUCCUCAAUUGGCAUAGUCAGUUUGAGAAGUCAACUGAAGCAAUCCAAAUCAAUCCAAAAUGAUGAAGUUCCUGUUCUUCGCCCUCCUCGUCGUCCUGGCCGUUGCCACCGCCUUCGCUGCUCCUGAGCCAGCUCCUGCUCCAUUCCCCGCUCCUCUUCCAGCUCCCCAGGGCGGAUAUUACUACCCCUAUGGAUACUACGGAUACUACUAAGCCGAAGACCGAUGACGAACCCAGCCAAUACGAUGAAUGCCGCAAACUCUUCUGAUUCAUUGUAAAAUGGGUGAAAUGCCAUAAAAUCCCAGAAAUAUAUCUUGCACUGCAAAAGAAA